rnacentral:rRNA from 1 species
UUAAAUUGAAGAGUUUGAUCAUGGCUCAGAUUGAACGCUGGCGGCAGGCCUAACACAUGCGAGUCGAACGGUAACAGGAAGGAGAUUGCUGCUUUGCUGACGAGUGGCGGACAGGUGAGUAAUGUCUGGGAAACUGCCUGAUGGAGGGGGAUAACUACUGGAAACGGUAGCUAAUACCGCAUAACGUCGCAAGACCAAAGAGGGGGACCUUAGGGCCUCUUGCCAUCGGAUGUGCCCAGAUGGGAUUAGCUAGUAGGUGGGGUAACGGCUCA